AACGAACGCUGGCGGCAGGCUUAACACAUGCAAGUCGAGCGCCCCGCAAGGGGAGCGGCAGACGGGGUGAGUAACGCGUGGGAACAUACCCUUUGGUUCGGAAUAACUCAGGGAAACUUGAGCUAAUACCGGAUACGUCCGUAAGGAGAAAGAUUUAUCGCCAAAGGAUUGGCCCGCGUCCGAUUAGCUAGUUGGUGAGGUAACGGCUCACCAAGGCUACGAUCGGUAGCUGGUCUGAGAGGAUGAUCAGCCACAUUGGGACUGAGACACGGCCCAAAACUCCUACGGGAGGCAGCAGUGGGGAAUAUUGGACAAUGGGCGCAAGCCUGAUCCAGCCAUGCCGCGUGAGUGAUGAAGGCCUUAGGUUGUAAAGCUCUUUGUCCGGGAAGAUAAUGACUGUACCGGAAGAAUAAAGCCCGGCUAACUUCGUGCCAGCAGCCGCGGUAAAGUGACUACUG
rnacentral:rRNA from 1 species